rnacentral:rRNA from 1 species
GACGAACGCUGGCGGCGUGCUUAACACAUGCAAGUCGAACGGUAAGGCCCUUCGGGGUACGACGAGUGGCGAACGGGUGAGUAACACGUGGGUGAUCUGCCCUGCACUUCGGGAUAAGCCUGGGAAACUGGGUCUAAUACCGGAUAGGACUCCUGGCUUCAUGGUUGGGGGUGUAAAGCUUUUGCGGUGUGGGAUGGGCCCGCGGCCUAUCAGCUUGUUGGUGGGGUAAUGGCCUACCAAGGCGACGACGGGUAGCCGGCCUGAGAGGGUGACCGGCCACACUGGGACUGAGAUACGGCCCAGACUCCUACGGGAGGCAGCAGUGGGGAAUAUUGCACAAUGGGCGCAAGCCUGAUGCAGCGACGCCGCGUGAGGGAUGACGGCCUUCGGGUUGUAAACCUCUUUCAAUAGGACGAAG